CCCCCCCCCCCCCCCCCCAGUUUUCUUCGAUAACAUAUAAGUCUCAUAUUUUUAUAUAUCGUAUGUGCACGAAAGACUGUAAAGUAAUCUUUACAUCACUUCGUGAGCUUGAUAUCGCCCCCGAUGUUGUAUAGUCAUUUGGAAUAAAGAAAACCAACACAUGUACAUAUCGACUCGAUACAGGCGAAAGAUGAAGAUAUUUUAUUUCGAUCAAGGCAUAUUCAGAAAGGUAACUAGUUGCAGAUUUAGGAUUUAGGAUUUUGAUACGGAAGGUACAAUAUAUUGCCUCGUUUAGAUACGAUUUGGAUGUGAAUGUGGAAAAUGCCCAACAUUUGAGUUAAGAUUAUGAAAAUUGCUAUAUUUGAGAGGAUAUUGUCAUACAUGCCAACUUUCCCGAUUUAGGCGGGAUCUUCCCGAUUUUACCCUCCGGUCCCGCUUUCCCGAUCGGGAAAGCAAAAUUACCCUAAAAUCCCGAUUUGAAAUUUUUUCCGACCAAAAUUUCCGAUUUCACGAUUGAAAACGAGUUUGAAAGCGGGAUAAACGUGAAAUCUCGUGACCAGAAUUGGAAAUCCCGCGUCAUUUCUGAACUGGCCAAUCAGAAAUCGGGACAAUAGUCAGCCAUUGCUGUUUACCUGUGUCGCAUGGUGUCGGGUUGGUCUGCCUGUGUCGGGGUGUUUAUUGGACAGUACGAAGCAUGUUUUGAUAGUAAUUAAUCGGGAAGACGGAUUUCAAAUUGACCUAUCCUUUACACAAACGUGAAUGACAACGAUGCUAGUGUCACCACCAAACAAUCGGACAUUCCGCCUCUCGCUGACAGCAUCCAAAAUUUGCAAUAAGAUGUCAUGGGUGCAAAGGUUUUGUUCGCAAACUUCAUAGCAGGACAGAUCACUCCUUUUUUGGUUGCAAUGCAGAUUAUUCCACCAGUCUCUGCAAGCCCAUGUUUACAGACAAGCAAGAUCGCCUUUGCAGUCGUACCUAAAUGCAUGUGCUUUAAUUUAAAUUUUGAUAUAUAAACCGGCCAAUGUUUAUUGUAUGGUGUAAAAGGAUGCAACCUUAAAUAUUAUUUGAUAUUAUGUAUGUGACUUGUUGAAGAUUUUUUGCUGAAUAGAUGAUUUUAAUAAAAUAUUAAUGUAUA